GUCUAUGGCCAUGCUACCCUGAACAAGCCUGAUCCCGUUUGAUCUCGGAAGCUAAGCAUGAUUGGGCCUGGUUAGUACUUGCACGGGAGACCACCUAGAAAGACCAGGCAUAAAAAAUA
rnacentral:rRNA from 1 species